CCUACGGGUGGCAGCAGUGAGGAAUAUUGGUCAAUGGCCGCAGGGCUGAACCAGCCAAGUCGCGUGAGGGAUGACGGUCCUAUGGAUUGUAAACCUCUUUUGUCAGGGAGCAAAGGGCGCCACGUGUGGCGCUUUGCGAGUACCUUAAGAAAAAGCAUCGGCUAACUCCGUGCCAGCAGCCGCGGUAAUACGGAGGAUGCGAGCGUUAUACGGAUUUAUUGGGUUUAAAGGGUGCGUAGGCGGCCUGUUAAGUCAGCGGUGAAAGUCUGUGGCUCAACCGUAGAAUUGCCGUUGAAACUGGGGGGCUUGAGUAUGUUUGAGGCAGGCGGAAUGCGUGGUGUAGCGGUGAAAUGCUUAGAUAUCACGCAGAACCCCGAUUGCGAAGGCAGCCUACCAAGCCAUGACUGACGCUGAUGCACGAAAGCGUGGGGAUCAAACAGGAUUAGAUACCCUUGUAGUC
rnacentral:rRNA from 1 species